GGGCGUGUAGCUCAGUGGUAGAGUGUUUGAUUGGCGAUCAAACAGUCCUUGGUUCAAAUCCAAGUGCCCCUU
rfam:Chelonia mydas contig263916, whole genome shotgun sequence.